rnacentral:SRP_RNA from 1 species
GCUGGGCAUGGUGGCUCAUGCCUGUAAUCCCAGCACUUUGGGAGGCUGAGGCUGGAGGAUCAACUGAGGUCAGGAGUUCAAGGCCAGCCUGGCCAACAUGGCGAAACCCAGUCUCUU